rnacentral:rRNA from 1 species
AUUGAACGCUGGCGGCAGGCCUAACACAUGCAAGUCGAACGAGUGGCGGACGGGUGAGUAAUGUCUGGGAAACUGCCUGAUGGAGGGGGAUAACUACUGGAAACGGUAGCUAAUACCGCAUACCAUCGGAUGUGCCCAGAUGGGAUUAGCUAGUAGGUGGGGUAAAGGCUCACCUAGGCGACGAUCCCUAGCUGGUCUGAGAGGAUGACAGGCCAAACGGAACCUGGGACACGGUCCAGACGCCUACGGGGGGAAGCAGGGGGGAAUAUUGAACAAUGGGCGCAAGCCUGAUGAAGCCUGGCCGGGUGUAGGAAGAGGGCCUUCGGGUUGUAAAGUACUUUCAGCGGGGAGGCGUUACCCGCAGAAGAAGCACCGGCUAACUCCGUGCCAGCAGCCGCGGUAUUC